GACGAACGCUGGCGGCGUGCUUAACACAUGCAAGUCGAACGGAAAGGCCCUGCUUUUGUGGGGUGCUCGAGUGGCGAACGGGUGAGUAACACGUGAGUAACCUGCCCUUGACUUUGGGAUAACUUCAGGAAACUGGGGCUAAUACCGGAUAGGAGCUCCUGAUGCAUGGUGGGGGAUGGAAAGUUUCGGCGGUUGGGGAUGGACUGGCGGGUUAUCAGCUUGUUAGCGGAGUAGUGGUUUACAAAGGCUUUGAAGGGUAGGCGGCCUGAGAGGGUGACCGGGCUCAUUGGGACUGAGGUACGGAGCAGACGCCUACGGUAGGCAGCAGUCGGAAAUAUUGCGCAAUGGGCGGAAGCCUGAUGCAGCAGCGCCGGGAGCGGAAUGACGUCCUUCGGGGUGUAAACAGCUUUCUCCGUUAACGAAGCGUUCGUGACGGUAAUGAGUAAAAAAGCACCGGCUAACUACGUG
rnacentral:rRNA from 1 species